rnacentral:sRNA from 1 species
AUCAGAUUUUUUUUUCUUCUUUUUUACCCAAUCAGAAAACCUCUCUCUCUCUCUCUCCCCCCGCUCUACCCAAUCAAAAGCUAUCUCUUGCUCACUCUCAUCUUCUCCUUCUCUUUCUCUCACCCGUAACUCUCUUAUCUGCAAUAAUAAAGACCAUCAUCAAACUCCAGAGAUCGAGCCUAAAACCACUACCAUCGAGAUCCUCUCAUCCUCACGAACACAUCUGUAUGAACCGAUCACGAAAUGGACAAGUUUUGAGUUUCCAACUUGGAGCUUCGACUCGGGUAGAGGUUCCCCGUCGAUUUCCAGCUCGAGUUACAAGGUUUUGGGAUUUUUGGGAGCACCUAGGCAACUCCUCGAGGCCAUUAACCUAGUUUUGAAGUGGAGCAGACAAGGAAACUCACGGUUUUGGGACGUCGAGUUUAGGUUCGAAGCUUUUGAGGCUUUUUCAGCCCUUUUCCGAGUUCUUUUUGGACUCUUAAAAGAAACCUGCGAAUCAGACGGCAACGUCGGCGUUGGCGAACGGCAGAAGACCAUCGAAAAAGAAGACCCAAUAUUUCGUCAAAGUUGACGCAAUAUUAUGAUGCCGUUAGGUAAUGCUGUUACCGUUUGCGGAAUAUUCCCUAGGUGAGGAAGCAUCCGGCCUCCGGCCGACAUGUGGUCAUCGUGUACGAGUCCGUGACUUUGUGUAGAACAUUUUCGUAUAUUUAAACCCUCCGUUUAAGCAAACUAUGGGGGUAUUUCCUAGCCUAUUUGUGUAUGUGUUAAUUAACUAAUUACUACAGUUAUUUCUAAGAGAAAAUUAUCCCGAGGACGUAUGAGGUCAAGUUGUCCAAAGGGUUAAUGUGGCAAAGAAGUGCAUUUUGGAGCAUUUUUUGG